rnacentral:lncRNA from 1 species
UUAAAAGAUUUUUUUAGUUUUUAAAAUUUGACUUGAUUUUAAAAAACAUGUAAAGAAGUAGAUAAAAAGAAAAUAAUGAAAUACAUGGUAUUAUGAUUAAUUUGAAAAAUGGAAAACAACAAAAGUAAAUGGUUUUUUAAAAUUAAUUUUAGUUGCAUGAACACAUAAAUUCUCACAUAUUGCUAAAAUCAAAAAUCAACCUUAAUAACUAUUUUAAAAAAACAAUUAACUAUGGAGAUCGCUUUUUACUUAUUAUUUUUUUCAAUCUAAUCACGAAUAAAUCUAAUCUAAACUUUCACAAUACACAUUUGAAGCAAUGUUUGUUAUGAGUUCCUAAAAAUUUCAAGGAUUCUAACAUAAUUCGAAACUCAUACUCCUAACAUCGUCUCUAAUAUUAUCACACAUUUAAACGUUUGCUGACUUGUAAAUGACAAAAAAAGGAACACUCUUGGUAACUUGCAAAUAUCAAUUUAUUUUUACCCCUCAAACUUCGAGGUUCAUUGCAUCAAUCUAUAUAUUGUAUUUAAACUUUUUUCGACAAACAAUAUGUGAAACUAUGAGUCAAUUAAACUCAUAAUUAUUCGUAACGUAAUCAACGUAAAUCAUUAUUACUUUUAAAAAUCAUGAUAGGUUUAUCUAUUAAGAAUUUUAUUUAGAUAUUCUACAAAUUAAUUAAUCUCACAAUUCUCAGUAACAUAAUCAAUGUAAACAAUUGUUAUUUUUAAAAAUCAUCAUGCUUUCAUUCACAAACGUGAUAAAUGAAGAGGUUGUAGGAAGGUAAAUAUUAUUAGCGAUAAAUGAAGGGGUGUAGAAGAUGUAGUUACAUAUGAUCAUUAUUUUUUUUUAAAUACGCUUAUUCUUUAAUUGAAUUAAAACUAAAAAUGUGAAUGUUGAACAAAAAUUUUUGACCAAUUAAAUUCUACCACAUCAUCACAACAAAUAUUCAAUAAUUAAAUUUUAUUGGAUUUUGAUAAUUAAGUUUACUCAAUCAAACUCAAUUCAAGUCCAAUAAACAGAUUAGUCAAAGUCCAAACUCAACAAGCAGUUGAAUCCAAGUCCAAUAAAGCAAAUGGGUCCAAGCCCAAGUCAAAACCCAAUAAGGCAAAUAGGUCCAAGCCUAAGCCCAACAAGUAAUGGGUCAAAGCCCACCUAAAGCCCACAAAAUUUCUCUAUAAAUAGAGACAUUUGUCAUUCAUUUGUGGAUGUCUUUGGUUGAAGGAAGAAUUGAAGCACUGGAGAAUUGAAUAUUCAAACUUCUUAUCAACUUCGAGUAAAUACCAUGAAUUCCAUAAGACUGAGUCUCAAAUAUCGCAACUACAACAUCCUAAAGACCGAAGAUCAAAACUUGCAACUACAACAUCCUAAAUAUCGAAUAUCAAGACUUGCAACUACAACAUCCUAAAGACCGAAGAUUAUGAAAUUUUAAGUUUUUAAGUUGUAUUCGAGAGAUGGCAUCAAAUGAGUAAAUAUUAGAGAUUGUAUCGAGAGAAUACAUCAAAUGAGUAAAUACUAUAGAUUGUAUUAAGAGAAAACAUAAAAUGAGUAAGUACUAUAGAUUGUAUUAAGAGAAAACAUCAAAUGAGUAAAUACCAUAGAUUGUAUUGAGAGAAAGCAUCAAAUGAGUAAAUACCAUAAAUUGUAUUGAGAGAAAGCAUCAAAUGAGUAAAUACUAUAAAUUGUAUUGAGAGAAAGCAUCAAAUGAAUAAAUACUAGAGAUUGUAUUGAAAGAAAACAUUAAAUGAGUAAAUACUAUAGAUUGUAUUGAGAGAAAGCAUGUAAAUACCAGAGAUUGUAUUGAGAGAAAGCAUGUAAAUACCAGAGAUUGUAUUAAGAGAAAGCAUGUAAAUACCAGAGAUUGUAUUGAGAGAAAACAUGUAAAUACCAGAUAUUGUAUUAAGGGAAAACAUCAAACGAGUAAGAGAAAACAUCAAACGAGUAAAUACCAGAGAUUGUAUUGAAAUAAAACAUCAAAUGAGUAAAUAUUAGAGAUUGUAUUCACAAUAAUCAUCAAUAUAACAAAGUUUAAUUUCACCCAAUACACUUCUUCCAAAUCAUAUGUUUAAUUUAAAAAACGAAUCAUUUUUUUUUUUAAAUGAAAUAUUUGACAAACCUUUAAAAAACACUUUAAAUAAAAAUCCAAUAGUUUUUCAAAUGAACGAUUUGGGUAAAAGAUUUGGGCCGAAAGGAAAAUUACGAGGCAAGACACGUGGACACGUUGCUUGAAUGGCAGUUAUCAAUAUAGACAAGGGGUAUUAUAGUAAAUCAACUAUUUCCUUCGCCAAUGAAACCGCCGACUCCACCGUUCCUCCAACUAUAAAGCCCUUCCUCCGAUUUCCCUCCCCGGUAUUUAUGACUGCUUCUCCCUGAAGCCAACAAAUUUCGCUCUCAAAUUUCACCGACGAAGAGAUUGGAAGUUCUUCAUACAAAAUGCGAGGCCACGAUUGGAUCAAUACGGUUCUUCCUGAUGAGUUGAUCGUUGAGAUCUUCCGGUGCCUUGACUCGAAGCUUAGUCGCGAUGCUUGUUCUCUCGUUUGCCGGCGUUGGCUCAAGCUCGAGCGCCUCAGCCGGACCACCCUACGAAUCGGUGCAACCGGUAGUCCCGACCUCUUUGUUCAGCUCCUUGCUCGCCGUUUUGUCAAUGUCAGAAAUGUCCACAUUGACGAGCGAUUGGCCAUUUCUUUUUCCCUUCAUCCAGUAAGGAAUCAACGUUCACUUCAAUUCUCCCCUUGAAAUACAUUUAGGUUUUCGGAUGAUGCUUUUUUUUCUUUUUUUUUUUUAGUUUUGAUGUUUUCACCAAUGGAAUUUGCGUGUUGAUUUGAUUUUAUGAUUGUAUUGUGUGCAAUUGAAAACUUUGAUUCUCGUAUCAAGCACUCUGGAGACUGAACUAGAAUAAUAAUAAUACAUUUUGUGAAUUUAGGUCAGAGGAUAAGGAGAAAGUAAUCGGCAGAAUGGUUCAAUUUUACACAGAGUGAUUGUACGCGUUGUAUUUAGGUCAUUAUGUGAAGUUAUACUAGCGCUCAAGAAACAGUUUUAUUCAGGGAGGUGAAAUGAUUUUUAAGUUGUGUGCAACUUCAAAAUUUAAUAGCUACUCGAAUGAAAUUACCCUUGCUUGUUUAAGUUGCUAUCUUCCAGAUGUAUAGCUUGGCGUGACAUGUUCUACUUUUUGGGUACUAAUUAUUGUUGCGGCAAAGAAUCGUUUUGUUUGAGUUCUGUUUGAUGUAUUGAUUAGUUUCUUCUUCUUUUCUGGUUGUUGUUGUUAUCACCUUUUUUUAAAAAAAUCUCGAGGAGAGGGUAUUAAUUUCACUGCCCGUCCGAGUUGAAGAUUUAAUUUAAUGAAAUUAAUAAAUCAAGGAUCAAAUUCAACCAAAGCAUCACAAAGAUUUUUGAGAGUUUUAUUCGAAAUUUUUAUGCAGAGAAGAAGACGUCGCAAAGAAGCCACGCGUUUGCCAUACCAUGGAGCUGAUAAUACUGGGGCUGAAGGUGUGUUGGAUUCUUCUUGUCUGUCAGAUGCUGGGCUAAUUGCUCUCUCCGUAGGUUUUCCAAACCUCGAGAAACUAAGCUUAAUUUGGUGCUCUAAUAUUUCAAGUCACGGUUUGACAUCCCUAGCUGAGAAGUGUAGAUUUUUGAAGUCACUGGAGCUACAGGUAAUUCUUAAUUUACGAAUAAGGAACACAGUGGAACGUCAAUUUUAAUAGAAAUGAUACCUUGUGAUACAUUUAAAGAUCAUUUUCUCAUUUAAAAGCUCAUAUAUAAUUGAGACUCAUGUCCCUAGUUUGUUACUGUUGCAAAAAUCUACUGUGCUCGCCAACUAUCUUUUUGAAAUUCAUGCAUGGUAGUAGGCGUGCCUUGUGCUUUUCCUUCUCUUUUUACCUUAUUGUUUUGCUUAACUAUCAUGUCCGUGCAGGGUGACACCUAAUCAUUUGGGGACAACAAAGAGAUAGGUAAUUAAUAUCAUAGGUAGAAAGGUGGCCAUCACGAUCUUACUUGAACAGGAUCUGUUCCAUGGAUUGUACAAUUAUGUCAUUGUGUUCUAAGGUAGGAAGGUGGCUAUCUUGGUUUGGGAUGUGCCCUUGCAUUGUGUCAUUUAGAGUUUUAGACAUCCAAAUGGCUUCAGAAAAGGCAGAUGGCACAACCUGCCUAUAUAUGAUCUUCACUUGUUCAAGUUCUGCCAAUUAUAGAAUCUGUUCUCUUAUGUGGUUAAUAGCUUUUAAUUCUAGUAGGAUAGCUGUGUAGCCAAUGUAUGAGUCUGGCUUUAGACUGAAAUCUUGUAAUGAAAUGGGUUUUAUUCAUCUGGAGUUGCAGCUGAAGUCUAGCUUUUCUGAAUCGGAAUUUAUUUUAAGACUUCCUGUUUAGAUGCUUCUAUCGAUUAUAAUCGUGGUUUCCCCAAUGUGUUUCACCUAUGCUUCUUUAUCUCAAGAUUGGUUACUAUGAGUCGAUGUCCUUUCUGAGAUGUACUUAUUUAACUCUGAUAUAGGGCUGCUAUGUUGGGGACCAAGGUGUAGCUGCAGUUGGGGAAUUCUGUAAACAACUUGAAGAUGUAAAUCUACGUUUUUGCGAAGGAUUGACUGAUGCCGGUUUGGUUGCAUUAGCCCGUGGUUCUGGGAAAUCAUUGAAAGCAUUUGGUAUUGCAGCUUGUACCAAAAUAACGGACGUCUCAUUAGAAUCUGUGGGUGUGCACUGCAAAUACCUUGAGGUGUUGUCGCUUGAUUCAGAAGUUAUCCACAACAAAGGGGUGCUUUCUGUAGCUCAAGGCUGCCCGCAUCUGAAAGUUUUGAAGCUACAGUGUACAAAUGUCACGGAUGAAGCUUUGGUAGCUGUAGGCUCCUUAUGUCCUUCUCUAGAGUUGUUGGCUUUAUACAGCUUCCAGGAAUUUACCGACAAGUAAGAUUCUUUUAAAUAGAAAAAUAGGAACUCAUUCUCUCCCUCAACAUGGAGACCUCAUUUUUGUGAUAAUUAAACCUUCUUUUGAGCUGUUAAAUUUGAAGUCAAGGGAAUUUGUCUUUUGGGAUUUAUCUCCUUGAUUUAACAUAGGGAUAUACAUACAGCAUGACUUCAUCGAGAACGGAACACUAUAUCUGAUAUUUUUGUCAAAAUUAAAUGUGUAUUAAUGGUUGACAGUACUAGCAUCAGGAAGAAUCUUGAUCUUCACAUUUUUCAUUUAUUUACUCUCCCACAUUCUUUUAAUGAUGAUUCAGGGGUUUACGUGCCAUUGGAGUAGGCUGCAAGAAGUUAAAAAAUCUCACUCUAAGUGAUUGCUAUUUCCUGAGCGAUAUGGGCUUGGAAGCUGUUGCAGCUGGUUGUAAAGGACUAACACAUCUUGAAGUGAACGGCUGCCACAACAUUGGGACCAUGGGACUUGAAUCCAUCGCAAAAUCUUGCCCGUAUUGUUUCUUUACAAUUCCUUUGGACAGUCUUUUUAGAGUAUUCAAAUGUUUCUAGAUUUAUUAUCUGCAAUUCUUGCUGGCUUCCUUGCUGUGGGAUUUCUUGUAGAGCUAUUCUUGUUCUUGGCAAUUGUUUGUAUGGGUCAUUACGGGUCACUUCCAUUUAAUCACAGUGAUUUUUUCCACUGUUGAUUAUCUCAUUUUUAUUGUUUUAUUUUGAAUCUCUUCAUUGUUCCUUUUUUUCAGCCAACUCACUGAAUUGGCUUUGCUGUACUGCCAAAAGAUUGUUAACUCUGGUCUUCUCGGAGUUGGUCAAAGCUGCAAGUUCUUACAAGCGCUUCACUUGGUAGAUUGCGCAAAAAUUGGAGAUGAAGCGAUAUGUGGCAUAGCCAAGGGAUGCAGAAAUUUGAAGAAACUCCAUAUUCGUCGAUGUUAUGAGGUCUCUUUCUCUCUCUCCCCUCUUUUUUUGUGACUUCACAUUCAUCAUUGUUAUCCGUUAUAAUUUUUGUUUUGUUAAAAAAUUAUAUUUUUGUUUGAUUGUUGUUAUGUUGUUCGUUGCAUCUUUGGGUUGAGUUUUCAGCAGGAUGGCUAACCAAGUUUAUUAAUUUUCAAAAAGAAGUGAAGAACAACAAUUUCAUCUUCAUAUUGUUUGAGUGAUACUUUGCAAAUUUGGUGUUCCCAUCAGUGAACUGAAAAAUUUUCGACAAUUUUAUCUAUGGAUAUUAAUGUUGACUGCCAACAUUAACUUUCCUUUACUGUAGUAUUUGAUCUUCUUCCAUAUUUGUAUCUGUCUAGUACUUUACGAAUACUAUGUGUAGAAAGCAUCAGACCCUCACUUGGUAAAACAAGUUGUAUGUGGCUUGGAUUUAUCAAUCUACCCUGCCUCAAAUAUUGACAUUCAAGUGGGAAGGAAGGGAACUAACUAUUAAUCAAGUUAUUUCUUUAUAUACUAGGUUGGGAAUGCAGGAAUCAUUGCUAUUGGCGAGAAUUGCAAAUUCCUCACAGAUUUGAGCGUCAGAUUUUGUGAUAGGUACAAUUUUUUAAUCUCAGAAAACUUUUCUUUUUGUCUUAAUCCUUAUGAUUUUAACUUUUAGGGUUGGUGAUGAGGCACUUAUUGCCAUUGGUAAGGGUUGUUCCCUUCAUCAGCUGAACGUUAGUGGGUGCCAUCGUAUUGGUGACGAGGGAAUUGCAGCCAUCGCUAGAGGUUGUCCCCAGUUGAGUUACUUGGAUGUAAGCGUUCUUGAGGUAUGCCCCUUGCUUCUCUUUGAAUGCCAGUUUGAAAUAAAUAUCUAGGGGACUAUAAACACCUUAAACUUAAAAUCAUUUUUAAGCACAGGCCUCUUUCAUUUGAUGUUACCAAGUAAUGCAUUGGUAUAUACAUUUGUAAGUUCUCCUUUCAUCCUUGUUCCUGAACUAAAGCUUCACAAUUGCUAGAAUUACAAUUAUACACACAUUAAUUCCAUUUAAGUGUUACUACAAGAAAAUUUCCCUGGACGCUGCACCACAAUGCAUUUAUCAACUUGGAAAUAAGUGACCAUAUUGUAAUUUGUCCAAUCCCUAUACACCAUUAUAUGGUCAAAAUUCAUCCAAUUAGUUUAUCACUAAAAUUAGAUCUUUUAUCCCAACAUUUUUAAUGUUAUUGGACAGAACUUGGGUGAUAUGGCAAUGGCUGAGUUAGGCGAAGGCUGCCCAUUGCUCAAGGAUGUGGUAUUGUCUCACUGUCACCAAAUAACUGAUGCGGGUGUAAUGCAUCUAGUGAAGUGGUGCACCAUGCUCGAAUCCUGUCACAUGGUCUACUGUCCAGGUAUUUCUGCAGCUGGAGUUGCCACUGUCGUUUCUAGCUGCCCCAGCAUAAAGAAAAUUCUCAUUGAGAAAUGGAAGGUGAGUGAGAGAACAAAGCGACGUGCUGGUUCAGUUAUUUCAUACCUUUGCGUGGAUCUCUAGAACUUAUUCUCGUGCUGGUGACACCUAAUUUCAGCAAAUCGAUUUGAAUUUGUGAUGGUUUUACUUUUCAGUUGGCCUUUGAGGUUAUUUUGUGCUGUAUGUUCAGUUGUAGUUCUUAAAUAAGAAGAGGAACAUGCUUUUGUCAAAAGAGAAAUAUUGACAGAGCUUGAUUAAACCUCGUUGAUAAUAUUUGUAUAGAGGAGCAUCAGCCUAAUUAAGGGACAAUUCUGAUGUGAAUUUAAGAAAAAUCCGGCAGUUUAGCGAGAAUGUCCCGUUGGGGUGAUUUGAACCCAAUUGAGGCCGAGAAGAGCUCAGAGUAAGCUUCAAGUAGGUGGUCUUGACUUUGUAGUAACAAACUAAUUUAUAUAAUUGUAACAAAGUAAGUUCUUUUAGCCCAGGGGAAAUCUUAUUAUUAUUAUUUUUAUCAUCUAUUAUAAUUGUUCCACGAGUAUGUUUAACCUUUGCUCUUUGUUUCAAAUAAAUAUCCUAAUUGAGACUUUCUUUUUUGUUUAACACACUGUUUGCAACAUAAAUGUGUAAGAAUGGAUUCCUGUUGCCAUGGUUGUGUGCUCUUGGAUGACCGAGUCCACAUAUUUUCUGCAUUGUAUGGUUUCAAAAAUCAUUAUCGAUACUCCUUUAGGUGCCCCGAGGCUUUGGUGCGUUUGCAUCAUCUUGUACCAUUUUCUCAGAUUGUCAGGUCCUGACUAACAUGGUUAAUUGCUUCUAGGACAUAUCUCCUGAUAUCCAUGAUUUGAUUUUUGAAAUUUGGGAUCCGACUACAUCUUUUACUCAAUUUUCUUGGUAUCUCGUGGUUCUUAUGGUAUUUAUCUAUACUAAAUUAGCAAGUAAAAUUUGCUCUUUUAGUCAUGACAACUAAAUCAACGUCUAGAAAAAAUGUUCUUAAGAGGAAAAUAAAUUUAAAAGCACGGAAGGGGUAGUUUUAAACCUAGCAUUUGAAACUAAUUACAAAAUCUAUCUGAUGUUUUUUUAGUUUGUAAAUAAUUUCAAUAUAUAUUUUUUUAUUUUGAGAAUUUCUUGAAAAUUAUUUGUAAGAAUUUUCUACCCUUGUUAUUAUAAUUAAUGAGAUUCUAGUUUGAUGGAUUAUUUUUUCUCUCUUGGAACCGGGUUGCAAUUUUUAAUGUUAAUCUAUUUUCUACAUAUAUACAAAUUAAACUAUUCAAGUCGAGUUUAUUUCUUAAACUAAGAAAAUUGAUGAAUUUUUUGGAGAAAUUUAGUAUUGUGGUAUAGUUCUUUCUCAAGGUUGUUCUUAAUUUUAGAAAGUUAGGAAACUAUAUAUUCUUUCUUAUGUUUCUUCAACGUUGAACAAAAUGUAGGGAGCUAUACACUUAAGUUUUUAACCUUAGAAAGUUGUGUAGUUGAGAUCAAUCACACUUCUAGUCUUUAGAAUCAAAUGAAGUUUUAAUUUUCAAGGUCUUUCAUCUUUCAAGGGCUUCAUAGCAAUUUUCAUGUUCUCAAUUUUGGUAUUUAUUUUAUUUAUAGAGAUUUCAAAUGGGCUGUAUACGAUCGUUUUCUUAAGCAAAACAUUUAUCUAAUUUAUGUUUUCAGAUCUGAUUAGCCUUCGAAAGCAAUCUAAGCUUAAUCACAGUAGAAGCUGAUAAGCUCAUAACAAAUUUUCAGAUUGAAGAUACAUGAGCUUCUACGUUGUGGCUAAGUUUCUCACCCAAACAAUUUUCUUAAAAUUUUUAUGCUCUAAAAAUAUUUCUUCAAAUUCGGAAUUUCCUUUUAAAUUUUAAUUUGGAGUUGUUUUUCUUUUAUCCCUCCCGGGUCUUACAAAAACGUUUUGACCCAAAAGAAUUACUGAAUUUCCCAUUUUCCAAUACACAGCACAGCUUCCCAGUCACCUCCGUCCAUUCUUCUAACCGGUAGUUAUUGAGCUUGAGCAUCCGUCGCGGAGAAGAAGCUAUGCCUGAUGGUUGCGGCAUCAGAGCCAUUUGGAUCUUCAGCAACUUCGACGCUGUUAUUUUCUCCAGGUUCUCUCUUCCUCAUCUGGUUUUCCUCGACCGCAUGAACUAGAAUCGAUGUUCUUUAGAAUUUUCUUUCUUUUACUUUCAUUUUUAAUUUCUUUAGCUUUGCAAUUGAAUCGCUCUAUUGUUUUUUGUCAUUUUUGAAUUCGUUCGUUCGUUUGUUUUCUUUUCGGAUUAUCGAUGCUUUUUUGUACAUCGAUGAAGAAUUACUUCCUUAGCUUUUAAUUUUGAUGUUUCUGGUGCAAUAAUGCUGGUUUCUUCAUAAUUCAGUAGCCUAAUGUUCCGGUUUCAUAUUUAUUUGAUUAUCUAAUUCCUUCUUCUAUUGGCGUUUCUUUACAGGAGGUUUCCAGUGGUAGAGAGGCGGUGGCGAACUGCAUGCAAGAUCGAGAAUGAUAGAUGUAAUUCUGACGACAUCGCAUCUGACGUGUCUCCGGUACUUCCUAAUGAUUCGGAGUUAGCUGCUGCAUUUGUUGAGAGAAAGAAGAGGUUAGUUGAGAUUAUUUUCAGUUUUCUUGUUAGAAAACUCGUUAGGAAGUUAAUUUGUUCUUUUAUUUCUACGAAGUCGAUGGCCUAGUUGUAGUCUAAUGUACUAGAUUUUGGUGUCGUUUUUGUGAUGUAUGUCAAAUGAAAUAUCAAUCUCUCGCAAAUCUUUGUGAUCAUUUGGUGUUUGGUGUGAUCUUAGUCUAAACACAACUUUGCUAAAUUUAUAUCAAUCUAACACAGAGUAGAUUUUCUGGUGUAACUGGUUUCAGAAUGUACUAAAUACGAGCCGCUUUCAUCACUAAGUGUGUUGUGUAAUAUUUUUCUCACUGGUCUUUGUUAGCACAUAUUGUAAUGUCAAUCUAUCACUUGUAGUUGAUUUGCUGGCACCACUGGUUUCAGGAUGUAGUUGUACAAUUCUUUGUUAUCAUUAAGUGUGUGGCGUGAUCUUCUUCUCACAAGUUACAUGUCUUUAUCAUCUUGUAAUGCCAUAUCACUAGCAGUAGAUUUACUGGUGCUGAUGGUUUCAUGACUUAGUAAAUGCCAAUCUUUGUCAUCAUUGAGUGUGCAGUUUGAUCUUAUUCGCACAAAGUACUCUGUUGUUGCUUUUGAUGAAGGCUAACUAUGAUACAAAUUAAUGGAAAUAUACUGUUAUAAGUUGUUAUUUCCUGCAAAGUUCGGCACAAAAGGAUUAAUGGUCGUAAAAAGUUCUUGAGUAUUGAUGCUCACAUUUUAUGAGUGCUUUCUAUUCCUUUCAUCCUUCUCUCCCUUCAUUGCUAUCAAUUUUCCAUCUUUGUACAGAGAGGGAUCUGCUUGUGGGUUUGGUAUUCGUGUUAUUCAGUCAUAUGAGGGAAGUGAUUCUUGGGUUGAUGACCCUAUUACACGCCAUAUCAUUGGACUUCAUGUGAAGAAAGAAGAAGAGAGUAGUAUCUUUCUAUGGCCCCUAAUAUUGAACAUAAAGAGCCAUUAUUCCAUUCUUGUAUUGCCCUUAGUUGAACCACAGCACAUAAAACAUUAUGCAAGUUUGUGCAAAAGAUCUGAUUGUGGAAGUGCUAUUGGAGCAGAAAGUUCCUUAUCCUCCCUCCUGCUUGAUCUUCCUUCCAUCACAGGGUAAUGUAAGUUAUUUGCUCUAUUAUAUUAGGAGUAGAAUACCAUCUUCAUUAUUUCGAAGGCCCUGAAGUAGACGAGUUUUAUAAUUUUUCUGCAGGGCAUUCAUGGUUGCACUUGCUAUUGGUGAUGUAAUCACUGGUGAUGCUGUUGAACCGGAUGUCCUCGUCAGUGCAUCUCCAUCUGUGGGAGGUUUAUUGGAUUCAUUAACAGGUAGCAUGGGAAUAUCAGGAAUCUCUGCUAGGGCAAAACCUGUAGCUUCUCCCAGCUCAUCUGUCAAUCCUUCUACCAAUACUGUGGCAGGAGCUCUUAAUUCAGAUGCCCCUAGGCCUUUGGAUAAAGAUGCACUUAGAUCUUUCAUAAGCAGUUCAAUGCCCUUUGGUUGGUAUUUGGUACUACUCUAUAUCGCUUUUUCAAAAUUUAUUACUUUGCUCGUGCAGGUUCAUGUAUCUGACUGGCCUCUUUUUUUUCUUUUCUUUUUUUGGUGUUAAUUAUAUGCUAGGAACACCCUUGGAUCUCAGCUAUACCAAUAUAUCUUCUAUCAAAGUAAAUGGUUUUUCCUCAUCAGAUCCGCCUCCUGCUGAUGUUAAACAACCAGCAUGGAAGCCAUAUCUGUAUAAAGGGAAGCAGAGAGUGAUACUUACAAUUCAUGAGAUCAUUAAUGCAGCUAUGUAUGACAGGGAUGAGAUUCCAGAUAAAAUAUCAGUUUCUGGUCAAAUAAAUUGUCGAGCUGAAUUAGAAGGGUUGCCUGAUGUUUCCUUCCCCUUAGCAGGGUCAAAUAAGGCUCGCAUUGAGGGCUUAUCAUUCCAUCCUUGUGCCCAAGUUCCUGAACAUGGUAUAGAUAAGCAAGCUGUGAUGUUUUCUCCCCCACUUGGUAAUUUUGUUUUAAUGCGUUAUCAGGCGGUAUGUGCUGCUGGGCCUCCUGUUAAAGGAUUUUAUCAAUUAUCCAUGGUCUCUGAGGAUAAAGGUGCUUUUUUGUUCAAGUUGUGUUUGAUGGAAGGUUAUAAAGCUCCUCUGUGUAUGGAGUUCUGUACUGUGACUAUGCCUUUCCCUAGAAGAAGGAUCGUAUCUUUCGAUGGAACUCCUUCAAUUGGAACAGUUUCCACUACUGAACAUUCAGUCGAGUGGAAAAUUUUAGCAAGUGGACGAGGGCUCUUGGGAAAAAGUAUUGAGGCAACUUUUCCUGGAACAAUUAGGUUUGCACCCUGGCAAAUCCAAAGAUUGCAUUCUUCAAGUCCUGUCACUCCUAGUGUAGAAGAGGUAGAUAGUGAUGUCGAGGCUGAAACUGCAAGCAAUGUGGUCAACAUUGAGGAAUUUUUAAUGGAAAAAAUGAACAAGGAUCUUCCUCCAGUCGAACUAGAGGAGCCAUUUUGCUGGCAGGCUUACAAUUAUGCCAAGGUAAACUCUUUUAUACUAUUGAGAAUUAUAACAUUUCUUUGCUGAAAGUUUGAAGUUAGUUCUUUUUUUUCUAAACAGAGUUCGAAGUUAAAUCUUAUCAUAAAGUAACCAUGCUUGCAUUCUCCUGUUACGUUGAAUGACGUUGUGUUUCCUAUCAUUAUCAUUUACUUUGGAAUCCAUGGCAUGAAACCUUCUGCAUCUUGUUCUUGCCUUUAGAUCAUAUUAAAAAUUCAAGGCAUCAGAAAAUGAUUUUUAUAUAAUUAUCUUCUUGUGUAUAAGUGAAAUGUCCAACCAAUCUGUGCUUGUCUGAUGGUAUGUUGGAAUUUUUUGUCUACCUACAUGGAAAUUCUGCUGAGAAGGAAGGUGCUCUUUUUCUUUUGUUAUUUCUCAUGUGUUUAAAGGCAAUGCAUGUUCCAUAACCUAUUUGUAGGAUUAAUGAUGGGUUGGCUGGUUCCGAUUUGAAAUAUAGUUUAUAGCAGGUUGUCUGAAACACUUUUUCUGUUGAUUCUGAUCUCAGGUAUCGUUCAAGAUUUUAGGGGCAUCGUUAUCAGGAAUAUCUGUUGAUCCUAAAUCUGUGAGUUUCUGAUCCCGCUUUGCAAAUCUCAUUCUGGUUUAUUAAGCUAGGCCACAUGUAGUUCCAGCACUCGUGUGAUGGAUCAGACUGUUGAAUGCAUGUAUCUACCAAUACGUAUAUAUGUUAAACUAGUAUGAUUUUAGAUGUAGGUUGACGCACAUGGAGUUGUUUUAGGGUGCAUAAAGCUUGCUUCCCAGAUUUAUUCCACCCGUUCUUAAGUACAUUUUCAGCAUUUUCUGAUAGCCACAUCACAUGUUUAUAUUUGUUGAAUCUCUAUUCAUUUUUGUUCGUGGCAUUCUAAUUCAACUACACCAUAAGGUUACCAAACAACGGAAGUACAGUUACUUUUCUCCUCAACGUUCUCUGGUUGUGGUGACAAAAAUUUUCUGCAAUUAUUUGCUGAGUUUUAUUUUGCUUGGUUGGAGUCCUUUUCUGUAGGGUUACUACUGCUUGUGGGCCUUGUUUCUUUUAUAUGCCCUUUAUUCUUCGUUUUUUCUUAAUCAGUGCUGGUCUUCUAUAAAAAUAGAAGGAAAAAAAACUUUCCUCCCCUUAGAUUUAGUUGAGUUGUAAAAUGGUUUUUUCUUCAUCUUCAAUCUUCAAUCUUCAAUCUUCAAUCUUCCUCCUGUUACGACUCUUAUAAUUUCUUGACAUCCAUUUUGCCUCUCCAAUAAUGCCCCCAAUAUUUACUCUUGAACGAAGAUCUUCCCCUUUUUUGCACACGAAUUAGCUUAUUUUCUGUUUGUCUUUUAUACCAUAUGGAACUGAAAAUAAUAUAUGUUCCUAAACUCUUCAAAUUUUUCUGCUCGUUCAGGUUAGCAUUUAUCCAGCUGUUAAAGCUCCAGUUGAAUUUUCAACCCAGGUUUGUAAUUUUACCAUGGCGGGCUUUUGUUUUCUUUUUGUUUUCGUUUUCAUAUGGCAAUAUAAUAAUAAUAAUAAUAUUAAAAAAAAAGAAAAAAGAAAACCCGGAAUACCUUCUUUUCUCUGUUCUACAACUCAACGUAUAAGCUUCCAUCACACAGCACUUUAAACGUGCAAAGCUAAAUUUUUUUCCCCUAUAAUGAAAUGAAAAGCACUUCUUGUCUGUUUGCUAUAAUAUUGUCGGGUUCCUGUUUAUUAAGUUUGUAAAAACAUUUGUUAACCUAUUCAUUUAAUUCUUGAAAUGCACAGGUUACCUCAGGGGAUUACAUUUUGUGGAACACCUUGGAUAAGUGCCCGUCUGUUGCCUCAGAAACAAUAUAGCUGGUACAUGCCACUCUAUUACACAGUUCUAGUGAUUUUAGGUGGCGACCAGUCUAUUUCGGUUCCGUUAUUUCUCCACUUUACUGUUACGAAAAUCUUCCAUGUUUGUGCUAAUAGGGACAUGUAUAUUCUUGUUGAAUUACACCAUUUGUUAUUUGUCACACCAGUCAAUGAACAAUUCCCCGCAGCAGAAUUCUGUGGGUAUAUCUUUCCGGUGAGCAGAAUUUUGCACUCAUCACUUUGUAGUCUUUGUUACACAAUUCUCGUUUGCACUUUAUUUAAAAUUUAUUUCACCGAAACGUGCACAAUGUAAUUAGGGGGUCCAAAUAGAUGUCUUGCUUUGUUGAAGGCCCUGGGCUUUUGACUUUUGAGAUGCAUACUAGAAUGGUUUUAGCAUUAGUGCACCAAUAUGAGUUCUAGAAAACACCGAUUCUUGCGUUAGGUUACUAUUCAUUUUUGUGGUAUUCUGAAUUGUUAUUGCAUUCUCUUAUCUAUCUUGAUAGAAAAAUUUAUGCUCUUGAAAAAGAGAUGACCCAAUUCAUCGUCGGAGUUGGGCUGAAAGAGCUGAUUCCAAUCGGUCAGUGUUUGAAAUUAAGUAUAGUUGCAACUUUAGUAAUUAAAUUCAAAUUAAUAAGUAUAUAGUACAAUUUUAAAAAAUUUAUAAAUAUAACAAAAUUUGUCAAAAUCUAUCAAUAAUAUAAGUCUAUCACUGAUAGACAAUGUUACAAAUAUUGUUUCAUCACUGACAUGCUAUAUGAAGUUUAUCAGCGAUACAAGUCUAUCGGUAUAAUUUUGCUAUAUUUGUAAUUUAUAGUUUUACUAUAUUUGUAAUUUUUUUAAAAUUUUGCUAUAUCUUUAAUUAUUAUUGUUAAAAUAGUCCUCCAUUCCAAUGAGAAAGGCAAAAUUACUACUUUACCCCAAUUUAUUUAUAGGUUUUUAAAUUCUACAACAAAUCCAUUUGUCAUUUGUCAUUUUUUUUAAUAAGAAAUGAUAUUGGCUAUUAGGCGUUCUCUUUUUCUUUUAAAAAUAUGAUGGGAAAUUUAUUUAAAAAGAAAAGAAAGAAGAUAGAUUGUAUGAUUUGGGUCAUGUCAUGCACAUAAGCUAAUGAUUACAUAAGAACAUCAAAAUCAUUGUGCUGAAUAUUUGUUUAUGUUAAUUGAUUUAAUUGUUAAUUUGUUGAUUUGAAGGUGCAGCUGCUUGUACCGAUCUCAUUAUCAGUGCAUGCAGAGGAACUUUUUGGUACUCUCUAAUUGCACUUGUCUGCCUGGAUGGUCACCACACAAUCAGCCUAUCCGCCUUUCGUAAGGUACUCCUUAGUACCCUCCAUAUCCUCUCUAUCAAAUCCUACCUUACACCUCCCUAGAGAGAGAGACGUUCUUAUAUCAUACAAUUAUUAAAAAAGAAAAAAAUGGUUUUCAAGUGUCAAAAUGUUCAUUUUUAGUCUCAAAGCUUUGAAUUUUUGGUUUCAAUUUAGUUAGGUUUUAAAAUUUUGCAAUUUUGUCACCAGUUUUUAUUUUAGAUUCACGAAUUUUUGGGACAUUUUUUUAAAAUAUCAAAAUAAAUUAAAAUAUUUACAAGUUAUAGACAAAUUUUGGAUUCCGUCAUUUUCUAUCACAAUAACAUGUUCUAUCAAUAUGCUAAUUUUCUAUAACCAAUUUAAUAUAGGUUAUAAAUGUUUUGUAAAAUUUACUAUUUUUAAAGGUUCUUCUAAAUUUUUUCAUUAAAUGUGUACGGUUUGUAUUUCAUUUUAAGAUCUAUCAGUUAAUUUAAAUAAAAGGUUGACACAAAAUUGAAAAUAAACUUACAGAUUAGAGAUAAAAAAAAAAACUUACUUUUCUAGGAAGUAUAUGAAGUUCUAUGAAAAAAUGUCGAUUUAAGUUUGGAAGGAAAAUCGAUCUAAAUCAACUUUUAAAAAAAGAUCUAAAUUAAAACAUUACCAUGAUUAAAUGCAUUUGUUUUUAUUUUAAUAAAAAAAAUGAUUUCAAGUUUAAGUGUUGUUUUGGUCCUGCACUUUCAUAGUUCUUUAUGGUUCCCAAACUUUCAAAUGAUAUGUUCCAGUGUUUGUAUAUUGUAUAAAAACCAUUCUUAUCCUUUAAUAAGUAUUAUUUUGUUAAUCAUUUUAACUAAAAUGUAAUGUGCUUUGUGUAAAGUAAGUAUAGAUUUAUUUUUAGUUUGUAAUGAUUGUUUUGGGAACCAAUUUAAAUUGUGUUAAUUGGAAUAAAAUACCUAUGCAAGUUCAGGCCAAAAUUUCCUUUGAACUUUUUUUUUCUAUCUAUGAUUAAUGAUAAAUAUAUAUAUAUAUAUAUAUAUAUAUAUAUCUGCAAGUACCCAAUAACAGUUUAAAGAUAUUUUUAAAGAAUGGUAGUAAUAUCAAAAUCUAUUGAUAAUAAAUUUAGCUAACAGAAAUCUACAGGUGAUGUUCUUUUUUUUUAAAAAAAUAUAUUUACUGAUAUCUUGAGUCUAAUUUCUAUUUUAAAAAGGCACAUUUAUAGUUUUUUGAAAAUUUAAUAUGUUUCAAGAGGAGAGAGAUGGAAUUGAUAGACUUUCUUAUUCUCAAGUUGAGAGGACAGGGAGUAAUCAUUAGCGUUACUCUAAAGAAUCUUAUUUGUUACAUUAAGAACCUAAAAAGAAAAAGGCAUUUUUAGAGUUCCAAGAUGUCGGCAAACGCCACAUUAAAUAUUGAACAACCACGCUUUUCUAUGUUAAAUUUUCAUAGGAAACUGAGAACAAAUCUAAAUUGGGGUUUGAGUUGGGACUUCUUUCAAUAAUGCUUAAACAAAAAAUGGGUGGAUUUUGUACCAAGAGCAAACAUUCUUAAACUCCAUGAGUACCAAAAAUGAAAAAGAACUAUGAUUUAAUAAUUUAAUGAGAUGUAUAAAGAUGGUUAUAAUUUAAACUAUAGUUGGGUUUUUUUUUCUUUUAAAAUAGAAUGCAUAGAGAUAAAUUUAAAUUGAAUGUUGGUUUAUGAUUUAAAUUGAUACAAUUUCUAACUUCAGUGUUAUAACCCUAAAUGAUGUUUGCCCUAAAAAGUAAUUAAACUUUUGUGGAGAAGGGCAGAGGGUUUGGAACAGAGGGAACAUGAUGCCCUCCAUGCUUACAACUCCAUGCCUCACUCUCUCUUUAUAUUAUAAUGUUACUUUCCAUAUGGCUUCUUGUCACAAGACGGGGCGGGGAGAAGCUUCUCUCUUUCUCUCUCUUUCUCUCUCUAGGGCUAUUGUGGGCCUAAUAGGGCUUUGAGAAGCAAUUGGUUUUCCCUUUCGCUCUCUCUCUAUUUCUAAGCCUUUCUGGGUCCACUAAAAUGGGCCCCACAAAACACCACAAAAUGACACCAUCUUUAUGUCAGCAGCUUAGUGAACAGGAUGCUUGAAAGCUUACACUAAUCUAACAAUUGUUUCACUAAAAAUUUUGAGGACGAAAAUCAACUAUUGGGUAAUAGUUUCACCCUAUUAGUAAGACUGCUUCUUAGAAAAACCAGAAGAUAAUGUAUCUGAGAAAAAUAGCUGCAAAUUUGUAAGUUUAAGAUUGCAACGUUUAUCGAAGUUUGAGGUCCACUUCAAAUAAAAUAAUGAAACAACACAAUAAGUUUUUGAGAGUAAAGUUUAAGUUCCACAAAUUUGGUAUCUGACUAAGCGCGACAGCUGAGAAUAGGUAGACCUAGCCCUGUUUGUACCGUCCAACAUUUUAAACUUAAUUUAUUAGUGUGUGAAUAAUCUUAUAAUAAAGUAACUUAAUUAGACAGUGAAUAAUGUGGAAGGUUAUAUAUAUAUACAUAUAUAGUGGAUAUAGCAUGGUCCUGAUGAGUAUAAAUAGGUUGGUCCAUGUAUCCUUGGGGUUGAAUGUUCCCAAGCAAAGCAUUCACGUGAAAGGAUUUUGAACCAUAGCCUUACCCUCAUUAUGGGGGAAAGAUUCUCAUCAUCAAUGCAAAAAUGUUCUUUGGCUUUGUAAUCUUUGUCCAUAUUCUACUCUAAUAUCCUUCUUUCAAAUACCCAAUAUACACUGUCGGAUUCCCUCCUUAGUUUUCUGUGGUGUAUUAUAAAGGUGGGAAAACCACCCAUUUCUUUCUCCAAUAGGAGUUCAAGGUGCUACCUGUCAUGAUUAUCAGAUAAAUCUGAGAUCAUGAAAGUAGAAUUUAGAGUGAACAUUUUGUUUUUUUAUUUUGUUAAAACUUUUUUAUUGAACUUUCGGUCUAAUUAGAACUUUAAAUUUUCAAUUUUAUAUUUGACAGUGUUACACAUUUUUAAAGAAAAUAUCGAAUAAGUUGAGAAUACAUAUUAGUAAAGAUAAUAAAAUCUUCAUCUAUGCAACUGUUUUCACUUAGGCUAUAAAUCAAGUGAGAAUGUCAUAAAUGAGAAUUUGAAAUAUAGAUGUUUAAUGGUUGUUAUUAAUUAGUUCAAAUUAUAAGAGUGCGUAACUUAUAAGAACUCAUGAUCUUGGAAAAGGGGUAUUCAUAGAGAUGUUGCAAUUUAAGAAAUAAGCUUAGAAAAGCAAUAUUUUAAGCAAAAAAUAAAUACGAAGGAAACAAAUGCAGUAUAUAAUUAAAACCACAAAAAAAAAAUGAAAUAGAAAACUUGUGUUUUGACUAAAAGAUGUGCAUAAAAUACCAAAUAUGGGUCUUAAAUUUGACUCGCAAGAGAGAUUUUGGUUGGUUAUACGUUAAAAAUAUAUAAAUGAACAUAAGAGAUAGAAAAUCAGUACAUUUUCUUGUUUUCUGGAAGAAUGAAAAAACAGUACAUAUUAAUCAUUGGUUGUAAGAAAAAGGCAGAACGUGAAACUCCAAUAUAUACACACACACACACACACAUACAUGUGUGUGUAUAUAUGUUAAUAGCAAGAAAAUAGGUGAAAUUAGAGAGAGAGAGGGGGGGUCAGGGUGUUGAUGGCCUUACAAAGCCCAAGGGAUAAGGGCCCUUCCCAAAAGUCACACCAAAAUCAUACAUCUUUGCGUGGUGUCAUUGAUUUAGAUUCUCAUUUCUUUAAAAAAAAUUACACAUACCAAACACACACACAUAUAUAAACACAAUUUGGCGUGUUUUGAGAGAAGAGAAUUGCAUGGUUUUCUUAAUUUCGAGAUAGAUUUUGCUAUUUGUUUUUUUCUUUUCUAGGAAGCCUCAAGGUCUUGUGGGUAUAAUAUGCCUUAUAUUUAGAGAGAGAGAGAGAGAGAGCAUUGUAUUAUUGUAUGUUGAAGUUAUAGGGUAAUAUCCUAAAUUUCUAUGUGUUGGGGGGGAGGGAUUAUUGCCAGCUAGAUUAUUCAAUGAUGUGACUACCUCUCUUAAUAAUCAUUAGAUGUCAUGGCCACCCUUUCAAUAUUUCUUCUUUCCAUUAUGCUAAUUCCUAAACUGUUAAGUCAUACUCUAUAUUGUUUUUCUCAGUGUGAGAACACCAACAUUUUAAUAAUACUCAUUUCCAAUGUUUUCUUUUUUCCUUUUACAUUACCCACUAUAAUUUUCAUUAUUUAUCAUACAUUAACAUACAUUUUAAUUUUAUUUACCUUUUCAUAUUUCUAAAUAUACUAUUGGGGAGUUAAAUUGAGAAAUGGAUUUAGGCAUGCAAGAUUGUGGGCACCAAUAAUGUAAAUUAAAAUCUCACACUGAGUUGUGAUAUCUUUGGUUUGCCCUUUCAAAAUCUUUCUCCAUCCAACAAUGUAAUCAUCAUCAACAUACAUCCAUAGCUUCUUGUUUUUGUCGUUUCCCUUCUCCCAUUUAGACUCUCUCUAUCUUUUUUAUAUCACCAAAAUUUAAUUCAUUUUUAGAGAAAUUCUCACAAAUUUAAAAGAAAAAAAAAACAAAUAUAUAUUCAUCUAAAUCUUAUUUAGAAUGUUAGAUAACAAUUUAAAUCACUUGAACCGUAUAUAUAUAUAAUAUAACUCUACUGUUUUAAGCAACAAAACAAAACCAAAGUAUAUCGAAAAUAUUCGUAAGAUAUUAUCAUAAUUCGAAACAUAAAUAUAAGAUCAAGUGACAUUUUCAAAAUACGUCUUUUUAAUCACUCAAAUUAAUUAAAUUCAAUUAUAAUUUUUAUACCAUCAAAAUUGAGUGAGAAGAAUUAAAAACAUGAUUCCGACCGUCAGUUUUGAACAUAAUGUCUCGAAAAACUAAUUUUAGCCCUAAAUCUAGGGCACCGUGGUGUGUGUAUUGACCUAUCUCUAUAAUAUAGUUGUUAGAGGAUUAUAUAUAUAUAUAUAUAUAUAUAUAUAUAUUACCUCAAAUGUGUGUUUAAAUUUGAUAUCAUUUGAUGCAACAAUAUAAUAUAUAUAGUAGAGAUGUAUAGUGUCCCCAUCUUGUAGCACGCCCCCAAUAUCCAAUUCCAAUUAGUACUUAACACAAAUCUAUAUUUUAAUUCGAAACCUUACGGCUUACAAUAUCAAGUAAUUAAAUAUUGACAUGUGAGUUUCUUAAAAGCUCAUUUCCUUAUUGGUCGAUAUCACCCCUAAUUGGAAAAAAAGGGAUAAAAGUGCUUCCUUUUAAGCUUAAGAUGCUACCUACGAUUACGGACACCUUGGGAGAUUUAAUUUUAUGUCUUAUGGGAGAAUUUACAGGGCUAAUAAAUUUCUUUCCAUUGAUGAAUGCUUUUUAAAAUUCAAGAACAUGUCAGAUGACAAAUUAAAAAAAAAAAUCUUUAAACAUUUUAAAAUUUGAGACAAUUGAUAAAACAUUUCGACAUUAUUUUGAAAGUUGAGGAAUCUAUUUGACAACUUUUGAAAGUCGUACAAAGUAAUAAAUAGAAAUUGAAAAGUUUAUGAAAUUAAAGUUGUAACUAAUUUAGUUUGGAAACACAUGAAAUGGUGCUAGCAAGUUUGCAAAUUGCAACCUUAGUCACAAAUGAGCAUGCAUUAUCUAGGCUUUUUAGAUUUUGAUGGGAUCGAUAAACUGUAUCUAAAUUUUGUUAUUUUUACAAAUAAUUUUACAUUAAUUGGAUAUUAAAUAUUUAGUAGGAGAUGAGUAUAUCUCCAAAUUGCAUGCAUGCAUGGAUGUGUUUGAAUUACAUUCUUAAACUUUAAAAGUGUAUAGUAGGGAGGUGUGUAUGUGGGGUGGGUGGGUUGCUGUAGUAGUUAGAAUGGAGGAGUGUUUAAGGCGUGCAAAACCCAAAUCCAUAUAUGGCGGCUAUAGCUAUCACCUUGAACUUUGCUUAAUAAAACGCUGUGUGCCGAUUUGUCGCACACACUAAACCAUACAAACAUAUAGCAUUAACUGUGGGGACGACUUGUCGAAUUGCUAAAAGACAAAACAGAGAGGGCCCUCUCUUCUUCUGUGGGUCCCGCAUAAAGUUUAGCUGUUUCGGACACACGUCGGAUGUGGUCCCCACUUAUGGUGGGUUGUCGGCACAUGCCACAUCCCCUCCCGAUUUGUGGGUCCCUUUUCAUACACUUUUUUUUUUUUUUUUUUUCUUAUAAAAUUUUCACAAACCAAAAUAAAUAACUUUCAUUUUUGGGUGUGCUAUGGGACCCCUUUCCAAAUAAAUAAAUCAAUUUAUAUUAAACAAUUUUUUUUUUUAAAAAAAAAUUGUAUUGGAAGGUAGAUUUGAGAAAAGAAAAGGAUUUUUUGAAUGAAAAGAUUUGGGGUAAAAAGUGAGAGUUUGUGUUUUAAGAUUUAGUGUUUCUUUGGCUUAGACUUUUUAAGAAAAAGAUUGAUAACCAAAAGUAGUUUUUAGUCGUUGACCACUUUUUGAAAGAAAGGAAAAAAGAGGGGAAAACAAUAUUAUUAUAUAUGUUUUUUUUUCCUUAAAAAAAGUUCACUAAAUAUUUCACAUUAUCUAUAUAGGUUAAAAUUAACAUAAUAUGGUUUUUAAGAUAGAUAUUUAAUGUGCAUCAUACAAGCUUUCUUUUAGAUUGAAAAUGAAUCACAAUUAAUUUUAAUUUCAAGUAGAAGUGGUUUGGGGUUGGAGUAAGAAUUUGAGAAGAAGAAAGGGAGUUUAGGGGCAUUUGAGUUUGGUGGGUGCGCAUGCAAGUUCAAAUUUAAAAUAGGUUUGCAAUUCUUUUUUGGGUCAUAAUGGAAGAUGCCACACCCACACCCACACCCCCAUCUCACCUAUUCAUCACUCCAUACACAUUUUUGCAUCAUUCCCCCAAACCUAACCCAAUUUCCCCCAACAAUAAUAUUCUUAAUAUCACUAUUAGUUUUUUUUUUUAUAACAUUUAAUUAAUAUCUCUUUCGAGAAAACAUUGUUGCGUGAGUUUUUGAAUAAUGCAUAACCUUUAUGCUCUUAUACCAUGUUAGAUCGUUAACUUAAAUAAGUUGAUAUGUGAAUCUUACAUUUAGUAUUAUAUCCAUAUAUCUAACCUUGUAUUUUCUCUCAUGUACAUACUAUGAUCCCUCUAUACAUCAUACUCUAUCUCGAUUAAACUUUAAGAAAUGAUCAUUGGUAAAGUGUCUUGUAGCAUAUGUAACCGACAAGAAGUAAGUCAUGAGCCACGCGAAAAACCCAUUUGUUUCUCUUGAAUUCCUUCUCAAUGAUCUCUCUCAGUCAAAGGUCUUUGUAUUUGUAUUCUAUGUCUGUUAUAAAAUCAACCAUCAAAGAUAAACAAUUUUUUCAAAAAAACUAAACAAUAGAUAAUCAAACACAAAAAUUUACAUGGUUCACUAAUAGUGCGCAUGUCAUCUACAUUCACAAUCAGAUGUUCGGUUUCAUAUUACAAUUGACACACUUCUUAGGUCAAAAGGCUUAUUCAAUGCACUCAUCUCCCAAGGUAAAAAACAUCUACAAGGCAACAGUACUCUCAAAGAUUGAUUAUUUAUGGCGUAAAUAUGUUAUAUAUAACAAUAAUUAGGGUAAGAGGGAGAAGAAGGUUGUUUUUAUUUGAAAGGAAGAGUGGUUUUGAUGAUGGUGAAGAGAACCAAAUGAAUUAUUGAUCUAAUCUUUGUUGUGUGCUCUCUCUCUCUCUCUCUCUAUAGUCUUAAAUUAAAAGCUAAGAAUUAAUACGAAAACGAAAUGUGAAGUAUAGUAUCACAUUUUUGACGGCACUCAAUAAUCUUCUUCUAAAAGCUCUUUCUUUUUCUAGUUUUCUUUUUUCUUUUUUCUCUUCCUCAUAUACAUAAUUAAACAUAUUAAUUUCCCAACUUUUUAGAAUCAUUAAACUCAUUGCUUAAUUAAUGAAAAAUCUCCUCACUUUAAUUAAUUAACCCAUCAAUUUUAAUUGUUGCCUUUUACUACUAACCCUUCCUUUUUAACCCUAAAUAUAUCAUGUGUGUGUGUGUGUUUUGACCUAUUGGAUCCUAAUUAAAUAAUGUGAUUGUUUUUAUGUUUCUCCUUUGGUGGAUUUUCUUUACAUAUAUAUAUAAUCAAGAGAGGGGACAUGCAUUUUGAUAAUGUUUUUAGGCACGUCUUGCUUUUCUUCUCUUUUUUUUUUCUUUUUUCUUUUCAAAUUAUUCAUAAAUUUAUAUUAUUUUUGUGACCUUUUUAAUUUACUUUUGUUAGGAAUAGACAAACAUAUGUUGUCCCUCUGAACUUAGGUUCCUUUCAUGGAUUUGUACUGUUCCUUCAUCACCUUGUCUCUCUUCCUCUCUCUCUCUCUCUCUCUCUCUCUUUCUUUCAAAAGGCCAUACACUUAUACUCUAUUUCAUUAUUCAUUCUUCUUUCUUUUGUUCUUUUCCUUUUACUUUAAAUCACACACAUAUAUAUGUACUAAUAAUUAUUUAUGUCUCGUUUCUUAUUUUGGACUCUUGAUUCUCUACUACUACUUGCCUUCUUUAUUUACAUCUUAACAUUUUGUAUCCAUUGCUAGUUUAAGAGUCUACAAUCAAUCCGAACAUGGUUUCAUUGGUAUAUGCAGUGUGUUUAAUAAUCAUGAACUAGGUGUGUUUUGAAAUUGAUUAUAGAAAAAAUCAAUCUAAUACUACUCUUUUAUUUAGGGCAUGUAUCAAAUAAAUAAAUUAGAUCAUGAUUGUAUUAAUUAAAACUAUAAACGAUUAUAUCAAUUUAGAUCGGCAAAUUACAAAUUUUUUUAAAUUCGUCAUGCAUGUCAUGAAUGUCAUCACAUGAGAGAAAAACGAAAAAUGUCAAAUAGAUAUACAACAAAUCCUUUUGAAUAAUUUUGUUGGGUUGAUUUGAGUGAUUCCAAAUGAAAUCAAGUAAAACUAUUUAUAAAUUUAAGUCUAAAUUAAUCCACUAAUAAAAUUCUGUAAAAAUAUAUUCUUAUAUGUAUAGAAAUAACACUUAAAAAGUGUAAAAUCCAAUAUAAAAGACCAAACUUUUAGAAAUUAAAAUAAAAUUUAGGAUAAAUAUCAACUAAUAAUUGUAUAAUUUAAACCAUGAACUCGAAGGUAGUGUUACUAAUAAUUGUAUUAAUUUAAACCUUAAAUUUUAAUAAUAAAGACAUCAAUUUAAACUCGAAAGUUUCAUAUACAUAUGUAUCAAACAAAUCCGUCAACUUUGAUAAGUGUGUCCAAAUAAAACAUAAUAUAGGGUUUAGAUUGACAUAUUUAUAUAGUUUAGAGAAUUUAAAUUGAUGUGUUUUUUAAAGUUAAAAAUUUAAAUUGAUACAAUUGUUAGUUUGAGAUUGAAAUUGAUACAACUCCUAAAGUUCAUAGUUUAAAUUGACGCAAACCCUAAAGUUGAGAGCGGUAUAAAUUGAAAUUUAAUAUUUGAUUUGUUUCUAUUUUAAAUCUUAAUUCAAUUUUAAAUAACACUUUGAUAGAAAAUGUGUUUCCCUCACAUUAUAUAUAUACACACAUAUGGAAAUCUUAAAUUUCAACUUUGUUUUACAACUAGGUGAAAAGUCUCUCUCUCUUAGGGACCAAAAAAAGAGUAGGAAUUAUACAAACUACUUCUAAAAGGCAAAUUUGAUCAUUGUUUUGAGACACAAAAACAUCAAUUAAUCUCUAUUCUAUAACAUUAUAUAUUAUCAAUAAUGUUUGGUGUUUGAACAUCAAUUCUCAUGCAAUUUUAAUAUAUAAACCUAGAUCCAAUUUUCUAGGGCAUUGAUAGAAAAAAGACCGAAUAUAUGUAUAUAUGAUAUUAUCACAUUAAUCAUCACAAAUUUUUCCCCUUCCCACAAGUUGCAACAAUUAAUAAAUUUAAAAUUUUGUAUUCAAAACAAAAAUUAUGGUUAUAUCCAAUAUCAUAACUACACAUCCCACAUUAAAUAAUUACAGUGUAAAUUAGCUGUUGGAUAUUACAAAAACAUGUUUCUGUUGAGAAAUAUAAUUGAGUUUAGUCCAAUUGCCUUUUGAUUAGUGAUUAAUCCAUUUCAAAUUAAUUAAAUUUGGAUUAAUUAAUACUAAUCAAGGAAACUUAAUGGAGUGAUUAGAUUAGUUUACACCCUCCACUUUUGAUCUAAUAUCAAUCAUGUAUAUGAUGGUUUAUGCAUUAUAGAUAUAGAAAGAGAUUAUAUUUUUCUGUUUUUGGAGUUAAUUUUGAAAAAUGAAUCAAAAUAUAAUCAAAUUUUAUAUUUAUUACUCGUAAAUGUACAUAAACUUUUAAUUUAAUAACAUGAAUAGAAGUUUAAUAUUUAUUAAACGUAAAUGUACAUAAACUUCUAAUUUAAUAACAUGAAUAGAAGUUUAAUUAUGUAUAGAAUUUAAAAUUUUAUUAUAUUUGGAUGAUUAUUCUCAAUAAUAGUUUUGUUAUUUACAAUAUUUUUUUCUUAUCAUCAUCUCUUCUAUAUAUAUUUGUUUUCACUUCAUUAUAAUGCUCACAAUGAUUAUAUUCUUUGGUUGCCUCAUCCGCAUGCUCUCUCUAACCCUAAUUCCCAUUAUUCUCUCCACCUAUAAAUUUCCCCUUCUUCUCCCUUCUCACCUUAUAAUUUUCCCUUUUUUCUAUUACAAACUCCAUAUUUCUGAUCAUUUCACACACUUUCGAUUAUGGCCGGUUUCGAAGGGUUCGAAAAGCGAUUAGAACUCCAUUUCUCCGGCGAUGACCCGAUUUUCUUCAACAUGGGGCUCCGCCAGCUUAGCUUUGAUUCCCUACAACAAGUCCUACGUGAAGUCCAAUGCACCGUCGUCUCCGCCGUCGCUAACCAUUACUUUGACGCUUACGUUUUGUCGGAAUCAAGCCUUUUCGUUUACCCAACUAAAAUCAUCAUCAAAACCUGUGGGACUACUCAACUACUCAAAUCCAUCCCUCCAUUAAUCCACCACGCCCUUAAUCUCCACCUAACACUUGUCUCUUGUCGUUACACUCGCGGUAACUUUAUCUUCCCUCUCUCUCAGCCUUUCCCUCACACUUCCUUCCACGAAGAAGUCGUUUACUUAGAAAACUCCCUCCCUAACCACCUCUGUUUCCGUAAGGCCUCCGUUAUGCCUUCCAAUCUUUUGCCUUCACAUGCUUGGCACGUCUUCUCUGCUUGUGAUGAAACUCGUUUGGUUCAUUUUGAUUCCGGGUUUUACACGGUUGAGGUUUGUAUGACCGACCUUGAUCGCAGUUUGGCUAAGAAGUUUUUCCGACGUCCUGGUGAUGGAAAAUCCGCCGAUGCUGCUGGUAAAGAGAUGACCGAGAUUUCUGGUAUUAAUAAGAUUAAUCCCAAUGCUCUUGUUUGUGAUUUUGCUUUUGAUCCUUGUGGUUAUUCCAUGAAUGGAAUCGACGGUGAUCGAUAUUCCACCAUCCAUGUUACUCCGGAGGAUGGGUAUAGUUAUGCCAGUUUUGAAUGUGUUGGUUCCAUUUACGACGGUGAUGAUUUUGUUCGGACGUUGAAGAGAGCCGUCCAGGUAUUUCGACCAGGGAAAGUGUCAGUGUCGACCACUACGGCCACAUCGCAUCGGGUUUGGGCGAGGGUGGCCGGAGCACUGGAGCCACUUGGGUUGAAAUGCCGGAGUUGUACGGUGGACGAAUUUCCGGCAGUGGGGAACGUUGUGUUCCAGACGUUUACGACCCGCCGGAAAAAAACAGGGGAAUGCGGCGGCGGACGGUAGAUAUUAAAAAAGAAAAUCUCUAGUCAGGGAAAGUUAGAAUAUGAUGAUAGGCCACGUGGCAAAAGUGAAAACUAUGAUGUUGAUGUGGAGGAAUUCAAUUGGUUAAUGAGAGUGAUGAAAUGUGGGGUUGACUUGUUUUUUCUUUUCUUUUCAAUUUCUUUUUUCUUCUUUCUCUUUUUCAAAUUUAAAAAAAAUAAAAAAAAAAUCUAAAAAUGAGGAGAGAGAUAUAGGGAUGGUGACGUGGAGUACCAAGAAGUUUGGGGGAUUUGAAAAAACAAAAAACAAAAAACAGAAAAACAGAAAAACAGAAAGAUCAUAAAUAUAAUGAUAAUGCACCCCACUUAGGGUUGUCACGCCUAAGGAUUUUUUGAAGCAUUUUGUGUAGUAGUGGAGAAAAAAAUAUAUAUAUUGAGAUUCAAAGUGCAAACCAAGUACUCCUUCUACUUCAUCAACCCUUAUAUCAACUUUUUUUUUCUCCUCUCUUCAUCCUUUAUGUAAUUUUCCCUAUUUUAAUUUCUAGCUAUCUUUAUUCAAUAGCGAUUACAAUUAAUAAAACUCUUAGCUUCUUCUUUGAGUUCCAAGGUUGAUUCGAGGCAUCCAAAAAGUGUAACAAGUUCAUUUUUGACUUUUUAGUGGAAUGCAUGUAUAUGCCAAAAUCAGUUUAAUUAGCAAUAUUUUGAUAGGGCAAAAGCUAGCUUACAACACUCUCCUUCUGCUUUGUCUAUCAACUAAUUUUUCUCUUCUCAUUUAUCUAAUUUUCUCUUCUAAUGUCUAGUGUAAAUUCAAUUCACAGACACUACAAAAUAACUAAAACUGACUAGAUCUUUUUUUUGAUUUCGAGGAUGAAAAAAUUCAAAGAUUUAAUCUUUUUAAACGUUAAAUUAAGUUGAUUAACAAAACAAGAUCACUCGAGAGAUGUCUGCACGGUGAUCUUAACAAGAUAAGAAAGGGCAGAGACAUAAUUUAAUUAAUUUGUAUUUUUGUUGUGAUGUAAUAUAAAGUUAAAAAGAAAAGUGAUUAUAUGUAUAUAUUAAUCAGGAUAUAGUGUUGUUGUUUAGGAAUGGAUGAUGAGUUUGAAAAUGUUAGGAUGAUGAAGGCUGGCGUGGAAGGCACCCAGAUAAGGCAGCAGCAAAGCAAUAAGACCACAUGAUGAUAAUUUGAAAGAGAGAGAGGGACACUAUAGUAAAUUUAUACAUAUAAUUGGUUUCCCCUUUCACACAUUUUAUCAAACAGAUUCUGCACGUGCCCAUUAUGCCCAUUAUGCCCAUUAUGCCCCUUUCUAAAUGCCUUCUCCACUUCCUCUCUUAUAUGGCCUUCCCACCCAUUCCUAUUACCCAAUACCCCUAAUUAAUUUCCUCCAAAUAUAUCCCUACAUCAACAACAAUAUUCAUUCCUUUACAAUAAUUCUACCGCUCUUUCCACUAUUCUGUGUCCUUUAUUUUUCCCAAACAAGUUGAUAUUCUUCUCUGAAUUUGAAUUAGAAUCCUAUAUGGCAUAUUAGUGGAAGUAAGAAAUCAAAAUUAAUUAAUAAACCUAAACAUACUCCAAACAAAUGGGGUUAAAACAUGCUAUUUAUCUAUUAAAAAAAAUUAGAUUUUGAUUAUCUCAAAUCUCACAUCUUAUUAAUCUAAAUAAAACAUAGUGUUAAUAUUUGGUUUUGGUGAACUUUGUCUUAAUUGUUUUUUCUUUCCAACUACUUCUACGUCGAAUUUGGCAAAAGAAAAAAAAAGAGUCAAACCACUUAUACCCAAACUAGAUAUAGAAAGAGGAAAAUAAUCGAAUGACUUGUGGAAUUUUGAUAUUCGUGGUACGACUAUUUGUAUGUGCAUCAAUGGGUCAGUUUUAGAGGGGGGAAAUCAUUUCCAUGGAUGUAUAAUUUUUUGUUUUGACAUAUUUGUUAGAAGAGAUAGGUUAGUUUUGUCCCCUCACACUCAUAGUGUAGGAGAAAAAGAGAGAAAGGAAAAGGAGGGGUAGGGAGUUGGGAGUUGGGAGAGGAAUCAAAAGCACAAUUUAGAGUGGAGGAUAUUUGGGAAAUGAGAAAUGAGAUUGGCUCAGAGGUUGAAGUUCCAUUUACCUUCCACCUUGUCCUUUUGCUUUUGGACACUCACUCAUAUUUUAUAUUCUUCUAAUAGGAGCAGUCUACCCUUAUAAUAAAUGCAAUCCCCAUAAACCACCAUCCUUUCCUUACCCACUUCCUUACUCAAUCUUUUUAUAUCCAAACACUUCCAAAGCAAACAAACAAAGAAUAGUUGCACUUUCGUUCUCCAACUUUCAAUUUUAAAAUUUCAGGUAGAAAUUGAACCCUAAAUGAUCAAAAUUAUAGCCUUCAAUUUAUAUAAUUGUUACCCAUUUCUACACAUAUGUAAGUUGAGAAAUUUGAUUCUAAGAAAAAAUAUUUCGGCAGACUAUUAUUGCCACAAAUAUAUAGGCCCUUUGUUUGGGCUCAUCAAAUCCCCAAUGGGCCUAAGAAGCCUCAACCACAAUAGCUUUUGGGUCUAACAAUUUCUCAGUAUGAAUGGGCCCUGGCCCGAUAAACAUAAUGCUAAACAACCAUGUAUUUGAGAAAAUAGCGGACAUUAAAAAUAAUUUGAUUUUUAGCCGUAUCUCAUAAAAUACAUUUUUUAUAUAUACUUUUCACUCUAUUUUACUCCUUGAUGGAAUGAAUAUCAUGCUGGUUAGUUACAAUGUAUUUGUUAACUGCAAAAUUAAUAUUACAAUGUAUUUGAUAUCAUUCAAUUUUAUUUUCAAACGAAAUUAAAUAAACGUUUAUUAAAUAAAUAUUUAUUUUAUUUAUUGAUCUCAUAUAACCAAAGUAGAUUCAUGUCUUAAAUUUUAAAAUAAUAUAUUUUACAUAAAGUUAUGCAUUUUAUAUAGUAACAACUUACUUAUGUUUCCUAUAAUUAUGCAUAUACAAUUUUUUUAAUAAAGGGAUUGACCAUAUUAUUAUAUAUAGUUUACACUAUUUAAUUCACAUAAUUAAAUCAUUAAUAAUGUUAUUCCAUGGUAGGUUUUGUUGGAGUGAAUAUUCUAAAUUUUGAAUUUAAAACAAUAUCUUCUACAUAAAAUUAUGCAUUUUAUAUAAUAACAAAUUCAUAUAAUUAGUGUAUCUUUCCAACUUUUAAGCAUUAUUUUAUGAAUUAAAUGUUAGUAUAACGGUAAGAAUAAAAUCAAUUUUCUUUUUUUAUUCUGACUUUUAUUUUGGGUACAAAAGUAUUCGAAUGAACUUGUUUUUAGUUUUGCAAAUUUUUCACUGCAGUUCUAUUUAUUGGUUGCAUUUAUCGUACCCAUGUUUUGGAAUUCCUUGACUUUUAUCGUAUAUCGUUUUUUACAACGGCAAUGCAACGUGUGAAACUUUUUUUUAUGGUAGAUGGAUAGAAUCUUUUCGAUAUAUUGACUACCAUGUGAUUGAUGUAUUUGUCCCAUGUUCAUCUUCAUUUCAAGAAUUCUUAUAGUGCAUUCAAGAUAGAAUUUUUCCAUCCUUACAUAUUUCUGUGUGUUGCAUUACUUUGUAUUGAGAUGGAUGCAAUAGUUCAAAUCUUAUUCGGAUUGGUGAAGACAAGGACGUGUAUUGGCUUAUGUUGAUUAUGUCGAAAUUUUCUAACAAUGAUUUUGUUUUAGUUCUUGAUUCUGCAAUAAAGAGAAUGAUUACCUUCAGAAUUGAACUUCUAAAGGUAUGAGGUGGAGCUUCACACUAUGUUUUUUUUAUUUUAGUUAUUUAGAGGGAAUUUUGUUUAUACCAUUUGUUUUCCAAUUACAGUGUAACGAGUGUUUAUGUUAGUGUACUAAAAUAGUCUAUCAGUGAUACACUUAUGGUUUAUGAUCUACCUGCAAUAAACUUUAAUAAAUUUUGUUAUAUUUGCAACUAUUUGUUUAUAUGAUUCAUAACACUAUUAUUGAACUAUUAUUCAUACAACCUUAUAGAGGAUACUUCAUAUUUUUCAUUAAUAUUCUUUAUUCUAUUAGAUUAAUAAUAGGAUAAAAUAUUCAACCUUAAGAAAAAAAAUUUGUUUCUACUACUCGAACCGAGAUUUUUUAAAAACAUUCUACAUUUUUACUUUUAGACACGUACGGAGCCUAAAGAGUAUAUUUUGAUGGGAGUAUAUGACAUAUUUGUUGACAUUAUUUUUUAAUUAAAGUAGAUAUGAAAGAUUGAAAUGUAUUGAUGAGAAUUGUGCAUAUGGCUUGAUUGGAUGAUGAUAAUAAUAAUACAAAUUUACUGAUCAUAAAGGAUUCAACAAAUCAAAUGGUUGGAAUUAUAGAAUUAGAUUCCCCCAAUAUGGGAAGAGAUGUAGUGGAUUUUGUGAAGUAAAGCUCCACUCAAAUGAUUGUGGUUGAAAAAUAAAACCUUUAAUUCAAAAAGGGGAAGAAAAAAAGAUUUGAGAUUCAGAAUCUUUGUUGAGAUUUUGAUUUUGGAUCAUAUAUUUGGUUUAUCUUUGAGCUAUAAUUUUCCCAUCCAAUAAAUAUUAAUAUAUUUUUCAAAUGGAUAUUUCUCAAUAUUAAUGAUUCAUAAUAAAUAAGUCUGAAGCUAAUCCCACAUCAAGAUUCCUCUCUAGACUGUCUCUUCCAUAAUUGACAUUUCAUUUAAAUUAUUCACUUCUAUUUCAACAACUAACCAAUUUGAUUUGAUAGUGUUAGAAUUUAUACCAACAUUAAUUGAUCAUCACACAAAAUCUUCUUAAAUAAUAGAGGAUAACAACUUUGAUUGUUAAUAAUAUAUAAUCAAUAUGGCCUUUUUCCCCUUAUAACCAUAUUGAUUUUUUUUUCCUAACGUGGAAGGUGUUAGGUGGAUGCUUUCGGAUUAUCUAGCUCGUACUAUUCGUCUUACCGACACAAACAUCAUUCCUAGUAGUUGUGAGGUUAAAAUUCUUGAAGUAAUGACAUUUUGUCACCAUUCACAAAGAGUAGCCCAAGUGAUUCGCUUGGUGGAAACUAAUUGUUUAGAGAUAACCUACAUGUUGAAUAACAUUGUGGGUGAUAUCACUGAAGGUCUUAUCUUUAUUUGAGUUAGUAUUAUGAGGGUAAGUUCAUUCUCUUAUGUUCGUCGGUGUUAUUACGACUUAUGCACUUUUUUGUUUAAAGCUUUAGAGAGAAAUGUCAAUCUUCGUAUUUUUCUUUUAGAAGUUAAAAUGUUGGUAUACUUCAAUUGAAUAAGAAACAUCACAACUUGAGGAAUAUUUGAAUUCAACGAUAUGAGUAUAAUAUGAGCAUUAUUUCAAUUCUGAAGAAAGCAACUUUUUCUUAUUCGAAGGUUAAAAAUGAAAAUUAAGAAUGUGAGGUUUUGUUUAGUGAUAUAUUUUUUUGCUUUAUUAUUUUUUUUUGUUAAAAAUAAAAUUAACAUUUGUAGUCCUUUUUAAAAAAAAAAAAAAAAACAAGGCUAAUAUUUUGGUUUAUACUUGAAAAGAAUAUAUAUAAAUAUAUAUAUAGUAGGUGGGUUAUUGUCCACAAUAGUGUAAGUUUGUUUCUUCCACAAAUUUUACUUGAAGAUGAAUGGGCCAAUAACUAAGGAAGACUCCAAAUUUUCAAACCCUUCAAAAAAAUCCAAAUCUGCCACACAAUUUCAAAGAGAGAGAGAAAAAGAAAAAGAAAAAAAAAACCUCAAUUAUAGACUUUUACUAUUCAAAUGGAAACAAUGACCAAAAUUUGGUCAUAUGAUGCAAUGUCUAUGGGAAGAAAAUUGAAAACACCUUGGAAAUUCCAAGCUUAAAGGUGGCAAAGGAAAGGAAAUGGAAAAGGGAAAAAAAAAGUCAUUUUUGACCUAAGUUUGUGAGUUGUCCAUCGACUUUCAAAUUUUAUCCAAUAUUUGGACCCUAAACUUAAACUAUUGUUGCUAAAAACAACCUAAAAAUAUUAUUAAACUCAUUACUUUUCAUUAUUCAUCAUAUUAGUUAUUUUCUUGCUUGCAACUCAAAUUGCAUCUUUUUACGUUCUUUCUUGUACGUUUGAUGAUACAUCUUCUUUCUCUACCGUAUCAAAACACUUUCUCUAGACUCCUAGUGAGCAAUCAAUCUUUCAUCUAUAUUUCACUUCGAAACAACUAGUGUGAGUAUGAGCGUGUGUAGAUCUAUUCUAAUGAUGUUCAUUUUUACUUGAAAUGUGAUCGAAGUCUAACAUCAACUAGAUAAGAGAAUGAUCAUACAUAUACAAUUAAUAAUGAUUAUCUAAAAGUGAUAAAAAAAAUCGAAAGUUAGGUUGUUUUUUACACCCUUUCUAUUGUGUGAUUCUAUCUUUUACUUGUGUGUCAUUUGCACUAUAUCCUCUUAUAAUACACAAGUAAAGAUCUUAAACUAGUCUAUGUCAAUUCAAACAAACCUCAAAUACUCUAACCUCUAUCUCUUCACAUGUGGUUGGGAGAAGGAAAAAUAAAUUAGUUUUCACAGCUCACGGGCAGCUCUGUUGAAAAAUUUGAAGUAGAGUUAUUUUCCAUUACCAGAAAAAAGAAAUGGUGAGUUUCAAGAUUUUCAAUGUGUGAACAAAUUUUUCUUACUGUUUUUGGGUCAUCUCAAUGUCCAAUCUUGUACCUUUCCUAUGCCCUCUUCUUCUUCUCCUUCUUCUUCUUCUUCUCUUUCUCUGUUUCUCACCGAAAGCCUAACACUGUUUUCGUUAACAUCUAAACCCCACAUUCCUAUCGGCUGCAAAAUUUGUUCUUAGGGUUAAUUUUUCUCGAUUACUUCGCCUUUUCUACCUCCUCGAGCCGUGAUCUUUCUUCAAAAGCAAUUACCCAUUUCCCCUGUUCUGUUGUUUUUGUUCUAAACUUACUGUUGUGAUACACACACACAUAUAUAGUGCUUUCUUUUGCGUCAGGAAGGAUUUCACUCAAAGGAAAAGCAAUCUUUCAUUUGCACAAUCGUUUUCUAAGUGGGGAAAAGGCCUUUUCUCUUUGUUUUCUUACAUAGGUUUUGCUGUUCCUUCUGUCUUAGCCUCUGUUCUUUUGCAUCUUUCUCAACUUUUUUACUCUUCUGAAUAAUAUGGGGUUUUCCUCUCGGAAAGUUGAUGGGGUUUGGUUAGAUUGUGUCAGAAACAUCUGGGUUUUGCUACAAGAGUUGAGUAUUUUAUAGUUCAAUUUCAAUUUGUACUAUUACUUCUUUGAGGACUUUCAUCAAACACCUUGCGGGUAACUUCGAACUUCAAUUUUUUUUUUUUUUUUUGCUUCUUCCAUUUGAGAAAUUAUGGGUUGUAUCCAUACAAAAUGUUGCUGUCGCUACCCAAAAUCGUUGGUUGGAGAAUCUCAAGACUUUCGACAAGGGGUUCCUUACUGUCUUCAAGAUAAGAACACUGUGAUAGAGAAAUCAUUGGAGAUGAUUCCUGUUGCUUCCCACAACUAUCAUUUGGAAUAUUUGGUUCUAGCUCAGCGUGGUUACUACCCUGAAUCUCCUGAUAAAGAAAAUCAAGACAGUUUCUGCAUUAGAACAAACAUUCAAGGUAACCCAAAUGCUCAUUUCUUUGGUGUUUUUGAUGGACAUGGUCAAUUUGGAAUGCAGUGUUCAAACUUUGUGAAAGAUAGACUAAUAGAAAAGCUAUGUAAUGAUCCCACAUUGUUAGAUGAUCCUAUACAAGCUUAUAAUUCAGCAUUUUUGUCUACAAAUGAUGAGUUACAUACAAGUGAGAUUGAUGAUUCCAUGAGUGGAACAACUGCAAUUACAGUUCUUGUUGUUGGGGAUACUCUGUAUGUAGCUAAUGUUGGUGAUUCAAGAGCUGUAAUUGCAGUCAAAGAAGGGAAUUGUGUUCUGGCUAAGGACUUGUCAAAUGAUCAAACACCAUUUAGAAAAGAUGAGUAUGAGAGAGUUAAGCUUUGUGGGGCUAGAGUUUUGAGUGUUGAUCAAGUGGAAGGACUUGUGGAUCCUGAUAUUCAGUGCUGGGGAGACGAAGAAAGUCAAGGCGGCGAUCCACCUCGGCUGUGGGUUCAAAAUGGAUUGUAUCCUGGGACUGCAUUUACUAGGAGUAUUGGUGAUAGUACUGCUGAGAAAAUCGGUGUAAAUGCUGUUCCUGAGGUCUUAGUUCUUCAGCUUAAUCCCAAUCAUCUUUUCUUUGUGGUUGCUAGUGAUGGAGUUUUCGAGUUCCUUUCAAGUCAAACUGUUGUUGAUAUGGUAUGUAAUGUUAUCAAUUUCUAGCUAUAUUUUUCUUUGAUAUUUUCUUCUUGGUCAUGAAUCUUGAUAUCCAGGUUGCCAUGUUGAAGAUUGGUAGAUACAAACCCGUUAGAUAGCUAUUUGGUUUGCUGUUUUUGAAAGACUCUUUUGAUUUCCUCAAAAUCUUUUGGUAACAUUUUCACAAAAGAUGCACCAAAGCCAUCUUUUGGAGAAUGUUAGGAUUUAUUCUCUAUUUUAGAGCUAUUUGCACGAUUUUAUCAAAUUAUAGAGACUAUUUAGAAACGUUUUAUCAAAUCACUAAGACUGAUAUUUAAUUUUUAAAAUUAUAGGAACCAAAUUUGUAAUUUAACCUCUUUUCUUUUUGUUGAAUUUUUGGUUUGGUUUUCUAAAAUGUUUUUAAAAAGUAGGUAAUAAAGUAAAAAAAAAAAUAUAAGUGAAAGUAGGGUUUAUAGAAACAAAAUGAUUAAUAGACAAGCAUACUUUUUAUCUGUUUACUUGUUGCUUCUUACUUUUGAACUGCUGAACUCAAUAGAAACGACUUCUAUUAGCCAAUUUGUGAGCAUAUACGUAAGUUGCGUUAAUAUGUUUUAACCAUAACUACAGAUCUUAACACAAUUUCUAAUGUUUUUUUCCCCUCUAUACAGGCAUCAAGUUAUGCAGAUCCUCAAGAUGCUUGCACUGCCAUUGCUGCCGAGUCGUAUAAACUAUGGAUGGAACAUGAAAAUCGAACCGAUGAUAUAACGAUCAUUGUUGUUCAAAUCAAAGGCUUGUCUAAUGUAUGAAAUUUACAAGAAUUAUUUCGGCUACAUAUUUCUUGCUCUUGAAUGUGAUGAUGAUAUAAUCUUCAACAGCAAAAUGCAGGAUGAUGUUGAACAAAGAAAAGAAAAGAAAAAACAUUUUGUUAUUACAUCUCUGUUAUCCCCUUGAUAUAAACCUACAUUUUGAACAGAAAAUUUAUGAUUCAAUGCUUAGCUUUCUCAUCUCUUAUCAAUUCGUUAGCUUGUAAGCUUGUUCCUCCCUUGUUUGCGUUGUUGGUUUAGUCAGGUGCUGAUAAUAAUCCUUCCAGCAACGGGCUGGAGACUGCUUCUUUGAGAAUUGAUUUCUCAGAUCUACCCACUGAACCGAACACUCAACCUGUUGCUGUGACAAAUCGAAACCCAGCGAUCGUGGUUCCAAUGCUGAAUAAUCAGACAUCUUUAUAACGGUAGUCUCUCUACUAUAAUAACAUAUUACCGCUAAACUUGUUGUUCGAAAUGAUUUAAGUACAUAAGCACUUAGAAAGAAAGUUAAUCUAAACAGAGACCAUUGUUCAUAGUUGUUAAAUGGUUUUAGCUUGUGUAUUCAGACUUCAGUGUUGCUAUAACAUUCCUCCACCAGCAGAAGAGACUUGUAAUGGAUCCUGAAAGGUAAAACUGACUAAAAAGCAUUUUAUAAUCUUAAUUUUUGCUUAGAAGAAUUACCUUUUAGUUUCUGACGUCACUUUGUUUAUACUUUUACAGUUGAAACAAAUACUGAUCUUCCAGCUUAGCAUUGGACCAACUAAGUUGAUAAAGACAGGGAGGUUUGGUGUCUUUGACAUGGAAAAAUGGAUGGAUUGUUCUCUUGUAAAUCCAUGAUAGAGAUUGAGAGAAAAAUCUACAGUUCCCAUUAAAAAGACAAGACAAAGAAAGGGAAUUUAAUGAGGUGGAUUAACUUCAAAGCUCAAUGAUAAACAAGUUUCAGACCCCACUUUGUUACCUUGUCUCUUCAUUUCUGGCUGGCAUGCUAAGGUAGAAUAUGUUGUAAAUAGCAAAAAAAAAAAGAAAAAAAAUUAUAUAUCCUUUUUCUUCUUCUGUUUGCUUAAGAUAGAUCCCACUUCUUGAAAAGUGUCAUGUCAAUGGUUUAGCUUGUUGUGAAGUUAACUUGUGGAUGACUGUCACAAAUUGUUGCUCAGAUGGACCCUCAAUUUUUUCUAUAAUUUCAAAUUUCAAUGUUUUGUGAUUCAAAUUCUCUCAUCCAAAUCACCAACGGUUACUCUCACGUGAUCAUAGUUUAGUAGAAAUUAACACAAAUAUAUUUUUGUUAAAAUUUUAAGAUAGUAAGGUUUGACAAACUAUUGAGAUUUUCGUGCGACCUGUUUGAUUUUUUUUUAUAGUAAUUCCACCCAUCCUAACUUUAACAAAAGGUCAAAACACAAAAAAUCUUGGAUCAUAUCUCGUUUGAGUCUUUGAGAAUAGGUUAGUUGCACACGCUCGAGCAUUUUUUAGUGUAGAAUAAGAAUUUAUUGAAAACAGGCUUAGUUAAACGGUAAUUGACAAAACUUUUAGUUGAUGGAAGGUUCAAUCUGAAAUAAUCUCUACAUAAUGGCAAAGACUUGGAAGAACAGUCAACCUUAUAGAUGUUACAAAAUACAUCUAAACAAGAUAAAACAAAAUCUUAGAUAUUAUUUGUUACAUUAUGCACCUUUGCAGAAUAAUCUUCACUUGCGUUGGCCAGAUUUCCUUCUCUCACUGCAAGACUUCAAAGCUUGAACCUCUACUAGACAAACCAUUAGCAGCGAGGAAAUGGAUUAGGACAGUCAUUUUAUAUGAAAAAUUAAAAAAUUGCACAAUAUAGACAUUAACAUUUCAAAUUGGUAAGAAACAGAAAGAGAUCUUGGCAACCACAAAUAAUUCAAAGAUGAACCUAUGAACAAAAUUAGAAUUCAGAACAAGAAGAAAUGAUCGAAUUGGUGAAAACGAUGGUCAGUGAGAGAUGAACAGUAUACCAGCCUGGCAAGAUUUCCAGUUCCUGUUAGUUUUGAUAAGACAAUCCUGAAAAUUAUAGGGAUGAAGUUAAUAAACAUCAAUUUACAUUUUAGGGCUUAGGGUUUUAGCAGAACGUAAAAAGGUAGAAGACGACGAACAGAACCGCCAAAAAGAAGAACCUGUAAGGAUAAGUAGAAGGAUGAGCAUUCAUUGAGCUGCUUGACGUUCUCGUCUUCAUCGUCAGCAUCACUCCGGUGAAGAGGCGGCUGAUUCUCCGGCGAAAUCGGCGGUUUCCCCAUUUUUUUUCCUUCAGGUUCGACACAAAUUUUAUACGAAAUUCAAACUUCUUAGCGUAAUAAGUUUGAACUGCUCAAAGUUCGCGAUUUAUUAUAGAAUUUCUUCUCUUCUUUUUCAUAUAGAUUAGGGUUUGUAUAUUUGUGCUUAAUUUAGUGUUGCAAUUGCUAACGGAUUUUGAUUUUGAUUCUUCCUUAUUAAUAUAGUUUUUUAAAAAGAGGAAAGGUGGUGUGAAAAAAAGUACUAUCUUUUUCCUUUUUUUUUUUUAUGCAAUUUUUAAAUCUACAUAUUUUCAUUACAAAAGAGAAAUUGUCGAUCACUUUUUAAUAUAGUGUUUGGUGUCCUUUUAAAUAAAAUUUAUGGAUCUCCACUUAUUCAAAAGGAUUGAAUUUUUGCACAAAUAUAAUUAUUAUAGAUCUUAGGAGAAAAAAAAGUUAAAUGAUAGAAAAGGCUGGUAAUUAUUCCAAAAAAGACUAUUAAUUCUGCAACAAAACCGCUCAUACCGGGCAAUGCAAGGGAAGCCAUCGAUAAGAUACUGAAAGUCGUAAAUAUUUUUGGAAUUGGGAUAGCCAGUCCUCCCAUUUCAUCAAGAUAAACCAGACGUAUUCUAUCAUAACUUGUUCCCGCUAAGAAAAAAAGCGCAGCGCCAAUAAAUCCAUGAGAGAUUAUUUGUAAAAUAGCUCCAUUCAGUCCCGUAUCGCUUAUAGAACCAAUUCCUAUAAUUAUGA